GGUAUGACUGGUUUUACUGAUUCCUCCCUCUUGAAGAACUGUAAUGCCAUUAAUUUGGUGUUGCAGGGAAUCAGGACUGUUACUUUGAAAAAAUUAGAGUGUUUAAAGCAGGCUUUAGCUUGAAUACAUUAGCAUGGAAUAAUGAAAUAGGACGUUUGAUUCUAUUUUGUUGGUUUCUAGGAUCGACGUAAUGAUUAAUAGGGAUAGUUGGGGGCAUUAGUAUUCAAUUGUCAGAGGUGAAAUUCUUGGAUUUAUUGAAGACUAACUACUGCGAAAGCAUUUGCCAAGGAUGUUUUCAUUAAUCAAGAACGAAAGUUAGGGGAUCGAAGACGAUCAGAUACCGUCGUAGUCUUAACCAUAAACUAUGCCGACUAGGGAUCGGAUGAUGUUAAUUUUUUAAUGACUCAUUCGGCGCCUUACG
rnacentral:rRNA from 1 species